AGCAUUAAGAAUCACACCGACACUUGUGAAUAGAAAUGAGAGAGUUUUAUGUCGGAUAGAUACGAGAAUUUCAAUAUCGAGAAACGAUAAAGAGUUAAAUAGGAUUUUUAAUGAGGAGUAGCGUUUGGAUAAAGAAAAUAACCAAAGGACGAACAAGAUAGAAAUACAGGAAAAGGAAGGCUAUGGCCUCCGUACAUGAAGCGAUAGAGAACACCGUAAUAAAUGUAUAAUAUGAAGAACUUAAAAUAAU